GACGAACGCUGGCGGCGUGCUUAACACAUGCAAGUCGAACGGAAAGGCCCUGCUUUUGUGGGGUGCUCGAGUGGCGAACGGGUGAGUAACACGUGAGUAACCUGCCCUUGACUUUGGGAUAACUUCAGGAAACUGGGGCUAAUACCGGAUAGGAGCUCCUGCUGCAUGGUGGGGGUUGGAAAGUUUCGGCGGUUGGGGAUGGACUCGCGGCUUAUCAGCUUGUUGGUGGGGUAGUGGCUUACCAAGGCUUUGACGGGUAGCCGGCCUGAGAGGGUGACCGGCCACAUUGGGACUGAGAUACGGCCCAGACUCCUACGGGAGGCAGCAGUGGAGAAUAUUGCACAAUGGGCGGAAGCCUGAUGCAGCAACGCCGCGUGCGGGAUGACGGCCUUCGGGUUGUAAACCGCUUUCGCCUCUGACGAAGCGUGAGUGACGGUAAUGGGUAAAGAAGCACCGGCUAACUACGUG
rnacentral:rRNA from 1 species